GAUGAACGCUGGCGGCGUGCUUAACACAUGCAAGUCGAACGAUGAACCGGGUGCUUGCACUCGGGGAUUAGUGGCGAACGGGUGAGUAACACGUGAGCAACCUGCCCCUGACUCUGGGAUAAGCGCUGGAAACGGCGUCUAAUACUGGAUAUGUCCCGUCACCGCAUGGUGUGCGGGUGGAAAGAUUUUUCGGUAGGGGAUGGGCUCGCGGCCUAUCAUGUUGUUGGUGGAGUAAUGGCUCACCAAGGCGUCGGCGGGUAGCCGGCCUGGGAGGGUGACCGGCCACACGGGGACUGAGACACGGCCCAGACUCCUACGGGAGGCAGCAGUGGGGAAUAUUGCACAAUGGGCGGAAGCCUGAUGCAGCAACGCCGCGUGAGGGAUGACGGCCUUCGGGUUGUAAACCUCUUUUAGCAGGGAAGAAGCGAGAGUGACGGUACCUGCAGAAAAAGCACCGGCUAACUACGUGCCAGCCGCCGCCGUAA
rnacentral:rRNA from 1 species